UACGGGGGGGGCAAGCGUUGUUCGGAAUUACUGGGCGUAAAGGGCUCGUAGGUGGCCAACUAAGUCAGACGUGAAAUCCCUCAGCUUAACUGGGGAACUGCGUCUGGUACUGGAUGGCUUGAGUUUGGGAGAGGGAUGCGGAAUUCCAGGUGUAGCGGUGAAAUGCGUAGAUAUUGGGAAGAACACCGGUGGCGAAGGCGGCGACCUGGUCCGUGACUGACGCUGAGGCGCGAAAGCGUGGGGAGCAAACAGG
rnacentral:rRNA from 1 species